CGGGGUGAGUAACGCGUGGAUAACCUGCCUCACACAGGGGGAUAACAGUUAGAAAUGACUGCUAAUAUCGCAUAAGCGCACGGUACCGCAUGGUACAGUGUGAAAAACUCCGGUGGUGUGAGAUGGAUCCGCGUCUGAUUAGGUAGUUGGUGAGGUAACGGCCCACCAAGCCGACGAUCAGUAGCCGACCUGAGAGGGUGACCGGCCACAUUGGGACUGAGACACGGCCCAA
rnacentral:rRNA from 1 species